rfam:Nematostella vectensis strain CH2 x CH6 NEMVEscaffold_328_Cont23978, whole genome shotgun sequence.
CAUAAUCAACAAGAGUGUCACCCUGCCGCGAAGGUUUAUGAGUGGUCUGCUGCUCCUCUUCGUGGAGC